UACAGAGGGUGCGAGCGUUGUUCGGAAUUACUGGGCGUAAAGGGCUCGUAGGCGGCCAACUAAGUCGGAUGUGAAAUCCCCAGGCUUAACCUGGGAACUGCAUCCGAUACUGGAUGGCUUGAAUCCGGGAGAGGGAUGCAGAAUUCCAGGUGUAGCGGUGAAAUGCGUAGAUAUCUGGAGGAAUACCGGUGGCGAAGGCGGCAUCCUGGACCGGCAUUGACGCUGAGGAGCGAAAGCUAGGGGAGCAAACGGG
rnacentral:rRNA from 1 species